rnacentral:rRNA from 1 species
UGGGGAAUCUUGCGCAAUGGGCGAAAGCCUGACGCAGCGACGCCGCGUGAGGGAAGAAGGCCUUCGGGUUGUAAACCUCUUUCAGGAGGGACGAAGCUACUCGGGUUAAUACCCCAGAGGGUGACGGUACCUCCAGAAGAAGCCCCGGCUAACUACGUGCCAGCAGCCGCGGUAAUACGUAGGGGGCAAGCGUUGUCCGGAAUCAUUGGGCGUAAAGAGCGUGUAGGCGGCCAGAUAAGUCCGCUGUGAAAACUCGAGGCUCAACUUCGAGCUGUCGGUGGAAACUAUUUGGCUAGAGUCCGGAAGAGGAGAGUGGAAUUCCUGGUGUAGCGGUGAAAUGCGCAGAUAUCAGGAAGAACACCCGUGGCGAAGGCGGCUCUCUGGGACGGUACUGACGCUGAGACGCGAAAGCGUGGGGAGCGAACAGGAUUAGAUACCCCUGUAGUCC